UGCAUGAGAAGCCUCAGCCUGCUGGACAGAUUGGGUAACCAAAAUCCUGCGGAAGCUUUUUUGGAGGGGAGACUCUUCUUCUGAAGUUAAAAAUCAAAACCAUCCUCCUGGAUGAACAAUCAAGAAAUUGCAGCCCAGGUCGAUGCUGUUGAAGAAGUAAAUAGGAGUUCUGUCAAGAUCCUCAUGGUGUUGAUGUCCUGGGUCAAAGCCCAUUUUUACCCACCCUAGUUACAAUCCCAGGACCAGAUAAGUUAGUGUCUACUUCAGAGGAAAGAUCAUCUCACUAGCAUAAGUUUCAACUAAUACCACUGUUGUUCAUGCUCUCCGAGAUUAGGUGUAAAUUGCUUCCCAGACCUUCUUGUGGAAAAUUUAUAUAAGGACAUGGACAAGAUGGAUGGGAAACCAAAUUUCAUUGGUCAUUGGGAGCUGCCUUGAUCUGAAUCCUUUGUGGCAGAAGAGACAGUGCCAUAAAUCAAGGCAUCGUGAGACUUUCUCAAAAUUUGUCUAACUUACACGUCUCCCCAGUCUUCAUAGGCAACUAUUUGUCUACAAUGCCAUUUGCUUGCCAAUUCAAAAAUCCUCCAAGUUCUUCAAGCACGAUGACUUUGAUUUCCUCUUUGCCUUUUUAGGCACUUGUCCAAGUCAGGUAUCCAAAUUCAGAUGAACUUGGACCAGGGAGCAUUUAAGAGCUACAGGUGAAGAAAGGAUGCUGUCUGCUUACCAUUUCAUCAUGCCUCUUUCUCUUGAUGCUGUCACAAUUUUGUCGCAGCCCAGAUUCACCGGGAACUUGACUUCUAAUUAGAUGUUCUGCCUAAGAGCUAUUCCCAAACAGAUGUUGGAUGGCAAGACCAGUUCUCUUUCACACAGAUGAAAGGGGGUAGAAGCUUGAUUAUUUCCAUUUGGUUUCUGUGGCCCUAGGAUAUCAUGAGUUUAAAACAUCCUACUUUAAAGUAAAUCAAGGACUUGGGUUAAGAAAUACUAUCGCUAAGAAACAAUUUUGUUACCGUGCUUUUUAUAAGCAUGAUGAACAGAAGGGCUUUUGAUUUCUGGGGUUGAACUGACAUCUGCUGGUGUGCACAUCAAAAUUCAGAGACCCAACUAGCUCUACUGAAAGUAGGGAGAAGCCUACUUCUAAUUAUUGUCAAAGAUUAAAUAUUUCCUGCUGGAGUGCUAUAGCUUUUCCUCCUGCUUCCAGCCUUAACCUAUAUAUGCACAUAUAUUUCAGAAGCUUAGUGGUAAGUACGUUUCACAUUCUUGGCAGAGAGCCUGGAAGUGCAGGUUAUAAAAGAAAACAGGCAUUUCUUUCUUAGGGAAAUGUGGAUAGGCAUCAUUUCUUUUCCCUAGAGGGCUUCCCCCCACCCCCCCAAUAUGGGAGACCUUUGUACAAAUGUAAGAAAAGAAGAGCUAUUUCAACCUUCAGUUCUUGGUGGAGGCUGGGGAAGAGGUGUCCUCUUCCUUUCUUCUGGCUAAUAUUUUUUGCUUCAGGCAUGUUCUAGGAUUGGCUUAAUAGUGGGUGUUUCCUUUUCUUUAUCCUCUUCCUCCUCUAGCAAUUAAGAAAUGUGCCAUUUCCAGAUGUUUCAGCUGUGGUUCUCCACCCAUUUUGGAGCUACCUGAGCGGUGGUUGGCUGGCAGAUCGCUUGGCAAAUUACUGUGGGUUGUAUUAGCUAUUAUCAAACCAGAAAUGAUUAUCUCUCUGCACUUGGGGAAAGGAGGAUCAUGCUUCAAGGGGAAUUUGCUCGUUUAUCAGUGGCCUAGCUGCUUCCUGACAAAAUGGUUCUUGGGAAGUGGAAGCAUUUCUGUUGAUGAAUGAGUUAAAAAGCAGUCAUUAAGCAUUUACUAUCUGUACAAGAAAUAUAGGUGCAGAAGUACAGAGAAGGCUGGACUGGAAGUCAAGAAGACCUGAUUUUGAAUCCUGCCUCAGAUACUAACUAGGGACAAGAACUUUGGUGGUGAGAACUUUCCUUCCUGCAUCUUCAGGAGCUCUAAUUGAUGAGAAGAUGGGGUCUUCAGCCCUGGCUCCACUGAAUGAUGGCUGCAGGGGCUAAGCUAGAGGGAGGACCUAAAACCUGAGACCAUUAGGCUUCCCUGCCCAUUGUUGACAAUUGGUUAUGCAUAAUCUGGUUGAUGUUGUUGUUGAUGGUGGUAGGAAUAUUGGGUUCCUCAAAUGAGAUAAUAUCUGUAAAAUGCUUAGCACAGUAUCUGGCAAAUAUUAAGUGGUUAAUAAAUGCU